ACGCUGGCGGCAUGCCUAACACAUGCAAGUCGAACGAAGGCUUCGGCCUUAGUGGCGCACGGGUGCGUAACGCGUGGGAAUCUGCCCCUUGGUUCGGAAUAACAGUUGGAAACGACUGCUAAUACCGGAUGAUGACGUAAGUCCAAAGAUUUAUCGCCGAGGGAUGAGCCCGCGUAGGAUUAGGUAGUUGGUGUGGUAAAGGCGCACCAAGCCGACGAUCCUUAGCUGGUCUGAGAGGAUGAUCAGCCACACUGGGACUGAGACACGGCCCAGACUCCUACGGGAGGCAGCAGUGGGGAAUAUUGGACAAUGGGCGAAAGCCUGAUCCAGCAAUGCCGCGUGAGUGAUGAAGGCCUUAGGGUUGUAAAGCUCUUUUACCCGGGAUGAUAAUGACAGUACCGGGAGAAUAAGCUCCGGCUAACUCCGUGCCAGCAGCCGCGGUAAUACGGAGGGAGCUAGCGUUAUUCGGAAUUACUGGGCGUAAAGCGCACGUAGGCGGCUUUGUAAGUAAGAGGUGAAAGCCCAGAGCUCAACUCUGGAAUUGCCUUUUAGACUGCAUCGCUUGAAUCAUGGAGAGGUCAGUGGAAUUCCGAGUGUAGAGGUGAAAUUCGUAGAUAUUCGGAAGAACACCAGUGGCGAAGGCGGCUGACUGGACAUGUAUUCACGCUGAGGUGCGAAAGCGUGGGGAGCAAAC
rnacentral:rRNA from 1 species